rnacentral:lncRNA from 1 species
AGCGGCCGUGACGAAGUCCGCCAGUAACUCGUCACUGAGAAGAAAACAAAGCUUGUGUAAGUAACAGAUGAGAAGAAAGGCAGUAAAGAUUCACCUGAGGUCCUAGUGCUGUAAGGUGACGUCUGUAAGCUCCAAGCCUUCGAAGUUGCAACAGCCGCCACCGUAACGCUGCACAAAAAACAUCCCGCGGAUCUCAGUAAGAAGCCAAAGCAGCACAGACGGUUGGUUACCCACAAUGCGAGAUACUGAGCUCCUCUAGUUUCGGCCCCAUGGCCACCAUGAGCUCACUCGGUAAUUCGUCGGUUCACGCUCGCGAGAGAAAGGGCCGUCAGCUCGGGCAGCCUCAAAACGCCAAGAAUCCCAUAUGGCCCGUGAAAGGUUGCUAGCUUCUGGACGGAUGACUCGGUGAAAUGCAGCAGCACUCGACAAGCUCCACGUCUCUCAAGCCUCUGGUGGCAGAUCGUAUCAGUGCCCGCACUUCCGAGUCUCACAGACGAUAGUUCCCAGCAGCAUUUGGUCCGAGAGUGCUCGGCCACAAAACCCGAGCUCCAAAGCCUGAAAGUUAUACAUUCUAAGCUUAGCGAGAGAGAGAGAGAGAGAGAGAGAGAGAGAGAGAGAGAGAGAGAGAG